UUGUAGGGGCUGUUGCCUUGCAAUCGAUAUGUAGGCGAUUGGAACACAGCGGGUAAGACACCGGUCAGCCCAAGGACACUGUGUCCGCUUCGUGCUUUCUAUGAAAAAAAGCAGAGUUGGCCUGAGGAUGUUGCGUCCUUGUGAUACAGCUGUGCAAAGUAAAACAAGUAAUGAAUCAGUCAUGAAUAUACCAUAGAACAAAGGAUCUGCACAUCUGGAAAUGUAGGGUUUGAUAUAUGAGCACACGUACUGCUUAUAAAAAUACCUUUUUGUAUCUACUAAUGAUUAUGCUUUAAACCACAAAAAUGUAUUGCAUGGACCAAUUAGAAAUCGACAUGUAAUCCUGUAAUAGUAUAAAAAGCCUUCUGAUUUGUGUAUUAAAUGUCUUACAUUUACAAUCCAUAUUGGAUUCUGUAAGUCCAUUUCCUCAACUUUGGGAACAGUCAGCAUGCUAACAGCGCCUAACAGCGACAUCUGGUGACCCCCGACGUGAUCAGCAAGAGACCUGAUACCCGGGAAGAGAGCUGAGCUGACUGCAAAGCGGGGAAAAAGAAAAGAAAUUCCGCGGCGGCUGCGGCCGGACGUCCGAGAGAGGCGUGAGUGGUACCACGGAUUUUCGACUCAGCGGAGGACGGAGAGCGGUGGUUGCCAGCCAAGUGGGUGUGACCCUGGCUACAUGCUGAAACCAAGGAAAACAAGGAGGAUGAUCAAACGGCGAUAGAAGAAAUCGCUGACUUAGAAGCUGCACACAACGUCACCAGAGACAACUGAUCUGAGCUAAAUGUUGAACAAUAUGUAUUGGUUAUCUGCUAUUGUAAUUAUUUUUGUGGUGCAGGAGAAUUUUGGGUGGGGUAGUGAAGACAACUUUUGGGUGAAUUGGGCAAAGGAGACAAAUAACCCAUCCUUUUGCUUACACUUAUCAGCAGCCACAGACCCAUUUAAAACAUGCCUGAUAGGGUUGCCAUUUGAUGAUCAACGCACUUUGGUAGCCUCCUUUUCAUCUCUCACACAUCAAGAUUGUUCUACAGCAAAAAGUAUAAGUCAUUGUAUGGCAUUAAUAGUUGCAAGCCUCAAUGACCCUUUACCAUGGGAUCCUCAAGAGUUCAACCUGUUAGGAAGUCGAAUGCCAAAUCAGUCAGGAUGUCUGAUAUUUGGCUCGUACAAUCUGACGAAUCGUCAAAUAACAGAUCUAACAUCCUAUCAUUUUCCUUAUUGGAGUACCUCUGAUUUUUGUGCUAAAGACACGGUUUAUGGUUGGAACACAAAUGGUAUGUGCCUUAACAUUACCAAAGCCUUAAGAUUGCCUAGAAAUGUGUUCCUGAUCUGUGGUAGAAGAGCGUGGCCUGGAAUCCCAAAAGAAAGUAACGGAGGGCCAUGUUACAUUGGUCACCUUUCUUUGCUAACUCCUACUUCAGAAUUUAUCCGAAAUCAUAUUGCAAGUAGUGCUACUCUAUUAAGAAAUCGUAGAAAUGUAGAAAUGUUAACCACUGAUUGUAAUGAUGAAGUGGAACUUUGGUCUCAUACAGCAAGAGUUUUUGGAGCAUUGUUUCCUCCUAUAGGAACAGCACAUGCCUUGUCAGCCAUUCAGAGAUUAGCAUGUUGGACAGCAAAACAAGCUAAUGUUACUACUAGUGUUAUUUCUCAGCUUGCAGUAGAUCAAAAUAGUUUGCGAAAGGCUACCCUGCAAAAUAGAGCAGCUAUAGAUUACUUGCUUUUAGUACAAGGAAAAGGCUGUGAAGAGGUAGAAGGAAUGUGUUGUUUUAACUUGUCUGAUCAUAGUGAUUCAAUCCAUAAAAAGGUAGACUGGCUUCAGCAUCAUACAGAGAGAAUUACAGCGAAUCAUAACCCCUUUGAUGAUUGGCUAAUGUCAUGGGGAAUUUCAGCUUGGGCAAAAGAGUUAAUCAAAACUGUAGGAAUAGUAUUGCUUAUUGUUAUUGUUGUGUUAUUUUUAGGACCCUGCAUCUUCCGAUGUCUAUCCUGGCAGAUGCAUCGGAUCGCUGCUACAGUGUUUGAAAAGAAAGGGGGAGAUGUGGGGAAUUUUGUAGGGGCUGUUGCCUUGCAAUCGAUAUGUAGGCGAUUGGAACACAGCGGGUAAGACACCGGUCAGCCCAAGGACACUGUGUCCGCUUCGUGCUUUCUAUGAAAAAAAGCAGAGUUGGCCUGAGGAUGUUGCGUCCUUGUGAUACAGCUGUGCAAAGUAAAACAAGUAAUGAAUCAGUCAUGAAUAUACCAUAGAACAAAGGAUCUGCACAUCUGGAAAUGUAGGGUUUGAUAUAUGAGCACACGUACUGCUUAUAAAAAUACCUUUUUGUAUCUACUAAUGAUUAUGCUUUAAACCACAAAAAUGUAUUGCAUGGACCAAUUAGAAAUCGACAUGUAAUCCUGUAAUAGUAUAAAAAGCCUUCUGAUUUGUGUAUUAAAUGUCUUACAUUUACAAUCCA